rnacentral:rRNA from 1 species
ACGCGCGGAACCUUACCAGGUCUUGACAUCCUCUGACACUCCUAGAGAUAGGACGUUCCCCUUCGGGGGACAGAGUGACAGGUGGUGCAUGGUUGUCGUCAGCUCGUGUCGUGAGAUGUUGGGUUAAGUCCCGCAACGAGCGCAACCCUUGAUCUUAGUUGCCAGCACUUCGGGUGGGCACUCUAAGGUGACUGCCGGUGGCAAACCGGAGGAAGGUGGGGAUGACGUCAAAUCAUCAUGCCCCUUAUGACCUGGGCUACACACGUACUACAAUGGCCAGUACAACGGGAAGCGAAGCCGCGAGGUGGAGCCAAUCCUAAAAAGCUGGUCUCAGUUCGGAUUGCAGGCUGCAACUCGCCUGCAUGAAGUCGGAAUUGCUAGUAAUCGCGGAUCAGCAUGCCGCGGUGAAUACGUUCCCGGGUCUUGCACACACCGCCCGU